rnacentral:rRNA from 1 species
AGUGAACGCUGGCGGCGUGCUUAACACAUGCAAGUCGAACGAGAACGGAUUAUAGCUUGCUAUAAUUGUCAGCUAAGUGGCGCACGGGUGAGUAAUGUAUAGGUAAUAUGCCUCUUACUAAGGGAUAACAAAUGGAAACGUUUGCUAAAUACCUUAUACUCCUUAUUAACAGAAGUUAAUAAGGGAAAGAUUUAUUGGUAAGAGAUUAGCCUGUAUUGUAUCAGUUAGUUGGUGGGGUAAUGGCUUACCAAGACUAUGACACAUAACUGGUUUGAGAGGAUGAUCAGUCACACUGGAACUGAGACACGGUCCAGACUCCUACGGGAGCGAGCAGUGGGGAAUAUUGCACAAUGGACGAAAGUCUGAUGCAGCAACGCCGCGUGGAGGAUGACACAUUUCGGUGCGUAAACUCCUUUUAUAUGAGAAGAUAAUGACGGUAUUAUAUGAAUAAGCACGGCUAACUCCGUGCCAGCAGCCG